rnacentral:lncRNA from 1 species
AGAACUAGGAGGGGAGAGACGGGGAAUUCUUUCGCUAGUAUGACCUACCUAAGUUUAUUUGUUAUUUAAUUGGUUGGUCAGAAUAUAGGGAUAAUAUGUGAUAUGUUUAUUAACCCUUGUUUUGUGGCAGUAUCUGAAAAUGGCAUCCGAGAAUGUUGAGAACAUCAAUGGAGCACAUGAGACCGUUGAGUCUCCACAGAUCAAUAGUCAGGAUAAUGUGCAUCAGGAAGGCGACAAUCCUCAGGCAAACAACAAC